rnacentral:rRNA from 1 species
GGAAUAUUGCACAAUGGGCGCAAGCCUGAUGCAGCGACGCCGCGUGAGGGAUGACGGCCUUCGGGUUGUAAACCUCUGUUAGCAGGGAAGAAGAGAGAUUGACGGUACCUGCAGAGAAAGCGCCGGCUAACUACGUGCCAGCAGCCGCGGUAAUACGUAAGGCGCGAGCGUUGUCCGGAAUUAUUGGGCGUAAAGAGCUUGUAGGCGGUUUGUCGCGUCUGCUGUGAAAGGCCGGAGCUUAACUCCGUGUAUUGCAGUGGGUACGGGCAGACUAGAGUGCAGUAAGGGAGACUGGAAUUCCUGGUGUAGCGGUGGAAUGCGCAGAUAUCAGGAGGAACACCGAUGGCGAAGGCAGGUCUCUGGGCUGUAACUGACGCUGAGAAGCGAAAGCAUGGGGAGCGAAC